rfam:Ailuropoda melanoleuca scaffold375_49, whole genome shotgun sequence.
GCCUGGCUGGCUCAGUACGUAGAGCAUGUGACUCUUGAUCUUGGGGUAGUGAGUUCAAGCCCCAUGCUGGGUG